rnacentral:rRNA from 1 species
UACAGAGGGGGCAAGCGUUAUUCGGAAUUAUUGGGCGUAAAGGGCGCGUAGGCGGCUUGGCAAGUGGAUGGUGAAAUCCCUCGGCUUAACCGAGGAACUGCCGUCCAAACUGCUUCGCUUGAGACCGGGAGAGGUGAGUGGAAUUCCCAGUGUAGCGGUGAAAUGCGUAGAUAUUGGGAGGAACACCAGUGGCGAAGGCGGCUCGCUGGGACGUUACUGACGCUGAGACGCGAAAGCGUGGGGAGCAAACAGG